rnacentral:tRNA from 1 species
GCCGCCGUAGUUCAAUGGCAGAACACCUACCUUGUAAGUAGGUUGUUGGGGGUUCGAUUCCCUUCGGCGGCU